UCUCCGUAGGUGAACCUGCGGAGGGAUCAUUACAGAGUUCAUGCCCUACCGGGUAGAUCUCCCACCCUAUGUUAUUAUUACUUUGUUGCUUUUGCGGGCCGUUAGGCUCCGGCCCGACUACCGGCCCCGGCUGGUAAGCGCCCGCCAGAGGACCCAAAACCCUGAAUAUUAGUGUCGUCUGAGUACUAUAUAAUAGUUAAAACUUUCAACAACGGGUCUCUUGGUUCUG
rnacentral:misc_RNA from 1 species